rnacentral:ncRNA from 2 species
GCUGAGAGGGCUUGGGGAGAGGA